AACAUUUUAAUAUGUAUAUGCCAAUAGAAACAUUUACUAGUAUUAUUUAAGCACUAUAAUAGUGUCUCUGCAACAUGCAAUGCUUGUCUGUGGUUUGUAUGCUCAUUUUGUACCACAAGAUUGACAGGACUUCUUAAUUAUUGAGGAAGUAAAAUUGUUCUUCUGUGCUUUCAUGGAUUAACCAUUUCUAUGCUUUAUAGUAAAGCUAGAGCUGGUUACAUUGGACAUAAAUUUUACAAUUAUCAUUGCCAAAUUUGAAAUAAUAUCAUUCCAGGAACCUUUAUUUUUUUCUUGCUUAUAUAUGUUUAAUUCCCUGUAGGUCAUCCUUGGAUUCAAGUUGAUGGUGUAGCUCCUGACAAGCCACUUGAUUCUGCUGUAUUAAGUCGCUUGAAGCAAUUUUCUGCUAUGAACAAACUCAAGAAAAUGGCUCUUAUAAUUAUCGCAGAGAGCUUAUCUGAAGAAGAAAUAGCUGGCU